UCCGAGUUGACCCCGGCAGUCUCCUAUGAGUCCCCACCAUCACGUGCUGGCAACAUAGAACGAGGGUUGCGCUCGUUGCGGGACUUAACCCAACAUCUCACGACACGAGCUGACGACAGCCAUGCAGCACCUGUCACCGAGUUCCCCGAAGGGCACCCCACCCUUUCGGGCGGGUUCUCGGGAUGUCAAGCCCAGGUAAGGUUCUUCGCGUUGCUUCGAAUUAAACCACAUGCUCCUCCGCUUGUGCGGGCCCCCGUCAAUUCUUUUGAGUUUUAGCCUUGCGGCCGUACUCCCCAGGCGGAACACUUAUCGCGUUGGCUUCGGCACAGACAGAUUCGACUCCGCCCACACCUAGUGUUCAUCGUUUACGGCGUGGACUAC
rnacentral:misc_RNA from 1 species